rnacentral:ncRNA from 1 species
UAAAGGUUUGGUCCUGGCCUUCUUAUUAAUUAAUAGCAAAAUUACACAUGCACGCAUCUACACUCCUGUGAGAAUGCCCUCUAUGUCAUAAAUGACCAAAAGGAGCAGAUAUCAAGCACACACCUAUGUAGCUCAAAACAUCUUGCUACCGCCACACCCCCACGGGUAACAGCAGUGAUUAAAAUUAACCUAUAAACGAAAGUUUGACUAAGUUAUGCUAUAAAGGGUUGGUAAAUUUCGUGCCAGCCACCGCGGUCAUACGAUUAACCCAAAUUAAUAAGCUUCGGCGUAAAGAGUGUUUAAGAUUUACAAAAUAAAUAAGGCUGAACUAAAACUAAGCUGUAAAAAGUCCUAGUUAAAGAAAAAAUAAUGAACGAAAGUCGCCUUACCAUAACUCUGAACACACGAUAGCUAAGACCCAAACUGGGAUUAGAUACCCCACUAUGCUUAGCCCUAAACAUAAGUUUUUAUAAACACAACAAUUCGCCAGAGUACUACAGGCAAUAGCCAAAAACUCAAAGGACUUGGCGGUGCUUUAUACCCCUCUAGAGGAGCCUGUUCUGUAAUCGAUAAACCCCGAUAAACCUCACCACUUCUUGCCACUUCAGCUUAUAUACCGCCAUCUUCAGCAAACCUCAACAGAGAGAUAAAGUAAGCUCAAACAUCAAACAUAAAAACGUUAGGUCAAGGUGUAGCUUAUGGAGUGGAAAGAAAUGGGCUACAUUUCCUUUAUUCAAGUACAUCAACGUAAACUUUUAUGAAACCUAAAAGUACAAGGAGGAUUUAGUAGUAAGCUAUGAAUAGAGUGCCUAGCUGAAUAGGGCCAUGAAGCACGCACACACCGCCCGUCACCCUCCUCAAACACAACAAAUAAAUAUACCUAAUUUCAUUACCAAGCAUGUAAGAGGAGAUAAGUCGUAACAUGGUAAGCAUACUGGAAAGUGUGCUUCGACCAAU